UGCGCAGGCGGAACUUUAAGUCAGUGGUGAAAUCUUGCCGCUUAACGGUAAAAUUGCCAUUGAUACUGAAGUUCUUGAAUAUGGUUGAGGUAGGCGGAAUGUGUUGUGUAGCGGUGAAAUGCGUAGAUAUGACACAGAACUCCGAUUGCGAAGGCAGCUUACUAAACCAUUAUUGACGCUGAGGCACGAAAGCGUGGGGAGCGAACAGGAUUAGAUACCCUGGUAGUCC
rnacentral:rRNA from 1 species